UCCGGUUUAGACCGGCGGUCUCCUUAGAGAAUUCAACUAAGGACAAGGGUUGCGCUCGUUGCGGGACUUAACCCAACACCUCACGGCACGAGCUGACGACAACCAUGCACCACCUGUCACUCUGUCCCCCGAAGGGGAAAGUCCUAUCUCUAGGAUUGUCAGAGGAUGUCAAGACCUGGUAAGGUUCUUCGCGUUGCUUCGAAUUAAACCACAUGCUCCACCGCUUGUGCGGGUCCCCGUCAAUUUCUUUGAGUUUUAAUCUUGCGACCGUACUUCCCAGGCGGCGUAUUUAACGCGUUGGCUACGCCACAAAAGGGGUCGAUUCCUUUUACAGCAAAUACGCACCGUUUACGGCGUGGACUAC
rnacentral:misc_RNA from 1 species